GGUCCUGUGGCGUAGUGGUUAUCACGUCUGCUUUACACGCAGAAGGUCGCCGUUUCGUUCUCGGCCAGGUCCU
rfam:Angiostrongylus cantonensis strain Taiwan genome assembly, scaffold: ACAC_contig0006472